rnacentral:rRNA from 1 species
AGGUCACUGCUAUCAGUGUCGACUAAGCCAUGCGAGUCAAAUGUUCUUCGUGAACAUGGCGUACUGCUCAGUAACACGUGGACAACCUGCCCUAAGGUCUGGCAUAACUCCGGGAAACUGGGGAUAAUUCCAGAUAAACCAUAGAUACUGGAAUGUGCUGUGGUUAAAAGCUCCGGUGCCUUAGGAUGGAUCUGCGGCCUAUCAGGUAGUAGUGGGUGUAAUGUACCUACUAGCCUACGACGGGUACGGGUUGUGAGAGCAAGAGCCCGGAGAUGGAUUCUGAGACAUGAAUCCAGGCCCUACGGGGCGCAGCAGGCGCGAAAACUUUACAAUGCGGGAAACCGCGAUAAGGGGACACUGAGUGCCAGCACCAUGUGCUGGCUGUCCGCAUGUAUAAAUCACAUGUGUCAGCAAGGGCCGGGCAAGACCGGUGCCAGCCGCCGCGGUAACACCGGCGGCCCGAGUGGUGGCCAUUAUUAUUGGGUCUAAAGGGUCCGUAGCCGGUUUGAUCAGUCUUCCGGGAAAUCUGACAGCUCAACUGUUAGGCUUCUGGGGGAUACUGUCAGACUUGGAACCGGGAGAGGUAAGAGGUACUACAGGGGUAGGAGUGAAAUCUUGUAAUCCUUGUGGGACCACCAGUGGCGAAGGCGUCUUACCAGAACGGGUUCGACGGUGAGGGACGAAAGCUGGGGGCACGAACCGGAUUAGAUACCCGGGUAGUCCCAGCCGUAAACGAUGCUCGCUAGGUGUCUGGGAUGGUGCGACCGUUUCAGGUGCCGCAGGGAAGCCGUGAAGCGAGCCACCUGGGAAGUACGGCCGCAAGGCUGAAACUUAAAGGAAUUGGCGGGGGAGCACUACAACGGGUGGAGCCUGCGGUUU